rnacentral:misc_RNA from 1 species
UUUCCGUAGGUGAACCUGCGGGAGGAUCAUUCAUAAUAAAGUGUUUUAUGGCACUUUUUAAAAAUCCAUAUCCACCUUGUGUGCAAUGUUAGAUCUCGUCAAUCUUGGCGAGAUUUUUAUACAUCAACUCAUUCUUUAACUAAUUUGUCUGAAAAAUAUUAUGAAUACUUAAUUCAAAAUACAACUUUCAACAACGGAUCUCUUGGCUCUC